rnacentral:rRNA from 1 species
UACAGAGGUGGCAAGCGUUGUUCGGAAUUACUGGGCGUAAAGGGCGCGUAGGCGGUUGAUUAAGUCCCGUGUGAAAUCCCUCGGCUCAACUGAGGAACUGCACGGGAAACUGGCCGACUUGAGUUCGGGAGAGGGAAGCGGAAUUCCGGGUGUAGCGGUGAAAUGCGUAGAUAUCCGGAGGAACACCGGUGGCGAAGGCGACUUUCUGGUCUGUAACUGACACUGAGGCGCGAAAGCGUGGGGAGCAAACAGG